rnacentral:rRNA from 1 species
AUUGAACGCUGGCGGCAGGCCUAACACAUGCAAGUCGAGCGGAUGAAGGGAGCUUGCUCCUGGAUUCAGCGGCGGACGGGUGAGUAAUGCCUAGGAAUCUGCCUGGUAGUGGGGGAUAACGUCCGGAAACGGGCGCUAAUACCGCAUACGCCCUGAGGGAGAAAGUGGGGGAUCUUCGGACCUCACGCUAUCAGAUGAGCCUAGGUCGGAUUAGCUAGUUGGUGGGGUAAAGGCCUACCAAGGCGACGAUCCGUAACUGGUCUGAGAGGAUGAUCAGUCACACUGGAACUGAGACACGGUCCAGACUCCUACGGGAGGCGGCAGUGGGGAAUAUUGGACAAUGGGCGAAAGCCUGAUCCAGCCAUGCCGCGUGUGUGAAGAAGGUCUUCGGAUUGUAAAGCACUUUAAGUUGGGAGGAAGGGCAGUAAGUUAAUACCUUGCUGUUUUGACGUUACCAACAGAAUAAGCACCGGCUAACUUCGUG